GGACGAACGCUGGCGGCGUGCUUAACACAUGGCAAGUCGAACGGAGAUAAACGCUGAUUUGAUGGAGCUUGCUCUGGAUUUUCUUGUUUAUCUUAGUGGCGGACGGGUGAGUAACGCGUGGGUAACCUGCCUCAUACAGGGGGAUGACAGUUAGAAAUGACUGCUAAUACCGCAUAAGCGCACGGUACCGCAUGGUACAGUGUGAAAAACUCCGGUGGUAUGAGAUGGACCCGCGUCUGAUUAGCUAGUUGGUGGGGUAACGGCCUACCAAGGCGACGAUCAGUAGCCGAACUGAGAGGUUGAUCGGCCACAUUGGGACUGAGACACGGCCCAGACUCCUACGGGAGGCAGCAGUCGGGAAUAUUGCGCAAUGGGGGAAACCCUGACGCAGCGACGCCGCGUAAAGGAAGAAGGUCUUCGGAUUGUAAACUUCAACAAUCAGGGACGAAGAAAGUGACGGUACCUGACUGAAGCCACGGCUAACUACGUG
rnacentral:rRNA from 1 species